UUUUCCUCCCCUUUUCAAUUUAGAUCUCGACAAGCACAUCAGCCACAGACUGCAAGUGUAUAGGUAAGGACAGCAGAAGCCCUGGCUUGCCAACAGGUUACAGAAGUUCCUGUUCUUCUCUCCAUGAAGUACAACGCAUGAAAAUAUUUUAAUUAGAAUCGUUCUUUCUGCUGUGAA